AGAGUUUGAUCAUGGCUCAGAGUGAACGCUGGCGGCAUGCCUAACACAUGCAAGUCGAGCGGUAACAGGCCCGCAAGGGUGCUGACGAGUGGCGGACGGGUGAGGAAUACAUCGGAAUCUGCCCGGUUGUGGGGGAUAACGUAGGGAAACUUACGCUAAUACCGCAUACGACCGAAAGGUGAAAGCGUGGGAUCCGCAAGGACCUCGCGCAGCCGGAUGAGCCGAUGUCGGAUUAGCUAGUUGGCGGGGUAAAGGCCCACCAAGGCGACGAUCCGUAGCUGGUCUGAGAGGAUGACCAGCCACGCUGGGACUGAGACACGGCCCAGACUCCUACGGGAGGCAGUAGUGGGGAAUAUUGGACAAUGGGGGCAACCCUGAUCCAGCAAUGCCGCGUGUGUGAAGAAGGCCUUCGGGUUGUAAAGCACUUUUAUCCGGAACGAAACGCGCAGGGCGAAUAGCUUUGCGAACUGACGGUACCGGAGGAAUAAGCACCGGCUAACUUCGUGCCAGCAGCCGCGGUAAUACGAAGGGUGCAAGCGUUACUCGGAAUUACUGGGCGUAAAGCGUGCGUAGGUGGUUUGUUAAGUCUGUUGUGAAAGCCCCGGGCUCAACCUGGGAAUGGCAAUGGAUACUGGCAAGCUAGAGUGCGGUAGAGGGUAGUGGAAUUCCCGGUGUAGCGGUGAAAUGCGUAGAGAUCGGGAGGAACACCAGUGGCGAAGGCGGCUACCUGGACCAGCACUGACACUGAGGCACGAAAGCGUGGGGAGCAAACAGGAUUAGAUACCCUAGUAGUCC
rnacentral:rRNA from 1 species